UAUACGUGAUCUGAUUUCAGACCGGACCUCCCGUGUUUAUAAAAAAUAUAUGCGUGCUGUGAUUUCAGACGACCCCCCCUGUAUUGUAACUGUCUCUUUUACGACUUUUGAAUUCCACUUCUGGGUGAAAAGGCUCAGAUGAAUUUGGAGGACGAUCAGACCCUAAAGAGCUUGAAUUUUCCUGACCCUUGUCUUAAUUGAUGUGAUAAGAAAGUGUUCUGAAGGUUUUAGUUGGGGCGACAAAGAGAAUAAAAUAACACUCUUUUUAUUUACCACUUAUUAGUGAAUAAUUGAUCCCUAAUGCGGGAUUAAAAGACUAAGUUACCUUAGGGAUAACAGCGUAAUAUUCUUGGAGAGUUCUUAUCGAUAAGAAAGUUUGCGACCUCGAUGUUGGAUUAAGAAAUUGGUGAGGUGCAGAAGCUUCACAGGAAAGUCUGUUCGACUUUUAAUAUCUUACGUGAUCUGAGUUCAGACCGGA
rnacentral:rRNA from 1 species